rnacentral:rRNA from 1 species
AAGUCUUACCGGUGGAUCACUUUGGUUCGAAUCAUGAAAACGG